rnacentral:rRNA from 1 species
UCUCCUGGAAACGGGUGGUAAUGCCGGAUGCUCCAGUUGACCGCAUGGUCCUCUGGGAAAGCUUUUGCGGUAUGGGAUGGGGUCGCGUCCUAUCAGCUUGAUGGCGGGGUAACGGCCCACCAUGGCUUCGACGGGUAGCCGGCCUGAGAGGGCGACCGGCCACAUUGGGACUGAGAUACGGCCCAGACUCCUACGGGAGGCAGCAGUGGGGAAUAUUGCACAAUGGGCGCAAGCCUGAUGCAGCGACGCCGCGUGCGGGAUGACGGCCUUCGGGUUGUAAACCGCUUUUGACUGGGAGCAAGCCCUUCGGGGUGAGUGUACCUUUCGAAUAAGCACCGGCUAACUACGUGCCAGCAGCCGCGGUAAUACGUAGGGUGCAAGCGUUAUCCGGAAUUAUUGGGCGUAAAGGGCUCGUAGGCGGUUCGUCGCGUCCGGUGUGAAAGUCCAUCGCUUAACGGUGGAUCCGCGCCGGGUACGGGCGGGCUUGAGUGCGGUAGGGGAGACUGGAAUUCCCGGUGUAACGGUGGAAUGUGUAGAUAUCGGAAAGAACACCAAC